GUCAACGGCCAUAGCACGCUGUAAAUACCGGUUCUCGUCCGAUCACCGAAGUCAAGCAGCGUUGCGCGCGGUUAGUACCUGGAUGGGUGACCGCUUGGGAACACCGCGUGCCGUUGACA
rnacentral:rRNA from 13 species